rnacentral:rRNA from 1 species
CAAUUCAUUGAGUUUUAACCUUGCGGUCGUACUCCCCAGGCGGUGUGUUUAUCGGUUUCCUGCGACACUGAAAAUAAAUUUCCAACGUCUAACACACAUCGUUUACGGCAUGGACUACGAGGGUAUCUAAUCCUCUUCGCUACCCAUGCUUUCGUUCCUCAGUGUCAGUAAUGAUCCAGAAAGCUGCCUUCGCAAUUGGUAUUCUUUCUAAUAUCUACGAAUUUCACCUCUACACUAGAAAUUCUGCUUUCCUCUAUCAUACUCUAGCUGAAAAGUUUUGAUGGCAGUUCCAGAGUUAAGCUCUGGGAUUUCACCACCAACUUUUUCAACCACCUACGAACUCUUUAAGCCCAGUAAUUCCGAACUACGCUAGGUCCCUUCGUAUUACCGCGGCUGCUGGCACGAAGUUAGCCGGACCUUCUUAUUCGGGUACAGUCAUUUUCUUCCCCGACGAAAGAGCUUUACAACCCAAAGGCCUUCUUCACUCACGCGGCAUCGCUGCAUCAGAGUUUCCUCCAUUGUGCAAGAUUCCCCACUGCUGCCUCCCGUAGGAGUUUGGGCCGUGUCUCAGUCCCAAUGUGGCUGAUCGUCCUCUCAAAUCAGCUAUUGAUCAUAGUCUUGGUAGGCCAUUACCCUACCAACAAACUAAUCAAGUGCGGGCUCAUCCAAUGGUGCAUAAAGCUUUCUCCGUAAAGACUUAUCCGGUAUUAGCACAAGUUUCCUCGUGUUAUUCCAGGCCAAAGGAUAGAUACCCACAUGUUACUCACCCGUCUGCCACUAAGUAUUGCUACUUCGUUCGACUUGCAUGUGUUAGGCGUGCCGCCAGCGUACGUUCUGAGCCAGGAUCAAACUCU